GUUUUUUAACUCACACCCAAGUUGGGUUCCGCCAACGGGUCAGUUGAUAGAUCUCGGGUCAGGAGGAAGCCGUGCUGGAUCGGGUCUGGGACGACCCCUGAAACAUUCGGGUGGGAGGCAUCACCUUCUGUCCGGUCGUUGUGGUCGGGCCCAUUGGAGCCUAUCCCUCUCCCCUAGGAGUCCCGGGAGAGCCAUGAGGCUUUUCGCGCGGCGCUAAAGGCGGCCGAGGCUGAGGCUGGACUGCUCCGGGCCUAGCUUGCCGAGUCUAACAUCCGUGUAGCUGUUCUAGAAGACGAAUUGGAGAAAAUGUGCCACUGUUUGGGGAAAGUUGAGAAGUACGUCGGGGCUCAUGGCUCCUCCUUAGUAAGCGCUUGGACAACAUCUCGUGUCGUGUCCGAGAUAUCAUUGACUUUGGUGUUCAUCGAGGAGCUUUGGUCCGGAUGUGGUCUUCGUGACAUCGUUGGCCUUCCUUCAUCUCUAUCGGAAGAGGAGCUAGAGGAUGUACUGGAGGACUACGAGAAGGCGACCAAUCAUGUUGUAGAUAGGUUGUCUAAAGACGAUAUCGUUCGUAGCGCUCGAUGUCCCCCUAGUGUAUUACGUCCUAAUGUCGUUUCCUGAGGGAGGAUAUAAGAAUGGUUUCUAUUUUCCUUUUGCUUGUGCUGCCCUUUGACUCCAUGCGACCAUGUCAUGGGGCCUCAAGGCCUUUUCUCCACUGAUCUGCUCCCGUUUUCAGGGUCAUAGGUUUGUUUCCAUAAGUUCCUUUGGGCGUCGCCUUUUAAAGAGAACACCCUAACAGGUGGGCAAUCAUGUUGGCUCUUAUGCCUCGUGGGCUUCCUCAGCGGCCCUUGCCCUCCCUCCACUAGUUGCUUCACAUCUAUGGACCGGGGCGGA